CCUACGGGUGGCAGCAGUGGGGGAUAUUGCCCAAUGGGGGAAACCCUGAUGCAGCGCCGCCGCGUGGGUGAAGAAGCGCCUCGGCGCGUAAAGCCCUGUCAGCAGGGAAGAAAAUGACGGUACCUGAAGAAGAAGCCCCGGCUAACUACGUGCCAGCAGCCGCGGUAAUACGUAGGGGGCAAGCGUUCUCCGGAUUUACUGGGUGUAAAGGGGGCGCAGACGGCGAUGCAAGCCAGGAGUGAAAGCCCGGGGCCCAACCCCGGGACUGCUCUUGGAACUGCGUGGCGAGAGUGCAGGAGGGGUAGGCGGAAUUCCUGGUGUAGCGGUGAAAUGCGUAGAUAGCAGGAGGAACACCGGUGGCGAAGGCGGCCUGCUGGACUGCAACUGACGUUGAGGCCCGAAAGCGUGGGGAGCAAACAGGAUUAGAUACCCUAGUAGUC
rnacentral:rRNA from 1 species